UACAGAGGUCUCAAGCGUUGUUCGGAUUCAUUGGGCGUAAAGGGCGCGUAGGCGGCCGUCCAAGUCGGGUGUGAAAUCCCUCGGCUCAACCGAGGAACUGCACUCGAUACUGGUCGGCUAGAGUCCGGGAGGGGAUGGUGGAAUUCCCAGUGUAGCGGUGAAAUGCGCAGAUAUCAGGAAGAACACCUAUGGCGAAGGCAGCUCUCUGGGACGGUACUGACGCUGAGACGCGAAAGCGUGGGGAGCGAACAGG
rnacentral:rRNA from 1 species